CAUGCAAGUCGAGGGGUAACAGGAAAGCUUGCUUUCGCUGACGACCGGCGCACGGGUGCGUAACGCGUAUGCAACCUACCUCAUACUGGAGAAUAGCCCCUGGAAACGGGGAUUAAUACUCCAUAGUAUCAUUCUUUCGCAUGUUUGAAUGAUUAAAGAAUUUCGGUAUGAGAUGGGCAUGCGUCCCAUUAGCUAGUUGGUGAGGUAACGGCUCACCAAGGCUACGAUGGGUAGGGGGCCUGAGAGGGUGGUCCCCCACACUGGUACUGAGACACGGACCAGACUCCUACGGGAGGCAGCAGUGAGGAAUAUUGGUCAAUGGAGGCAACUCUGAACCAGCCAUGCCGCGUGAAGGAUGACGGCCCUAUGGGUUGUAAACUUCUUUUGAAUAGGAAGAAACUUAUCUACGUGUAGAUAACUGACGGUACUAUUAGAAUAAGGAUCGGCUAACUCCGUGCCAGCAGCCGCGGUAAUACGGAGGAUCCAAGCGUUAUCCGGAUUCAUUGGGUUUAAAGGGUCCGUAGGCGGGUCUUUAAGUCAGUGGUGAAAGCCGACAGCUCAACUGUCGAACUGCCAUUGAUACUGGAGACCUUGAGUACA
rnacentral:rRNA from 1 species